GGGGCCGUAGCUCAGUUGGUAGAGCGCUUGAAUGGCAUUCAAGAGGUCAGGGGUUCGAUUCCCCUCGGCUCCA
rnacentral:tRNA from 1 species